rfam:Arabis alpina cultivar Pajares chromosome 1, whole genome shotgun sequence.
UUGCACCUUGUAUUAGAAGGUCAUGCUUCGUUCUGGUGGCAUGACUAUUUUCGAGGAUGCGGAAAGGAAUAGCUGUUAAAUCAGUAAGCGGCCAGACAACCGUUGGGAUAGAUCCACAGGUGAGAGCGGUUUCUUUCUUCGCUCUUAGCUACUAAAUCUAUCCCACAUUU